rnacentral:rRNA from 1 species
CGGGGUGGAGUAAUGUCUGGGAAACUGCCUGAUGAGGGGGGAUAACUACUGGAAACGGUAGCUAAUACCGCAUAAUGUCGCAAGACCAAAUGGGGGACCUUCGGGCCUCUUGCCAUCGGAUGUGCCCAGAUGGGAUUAGCUAGUAGGUGGGGUAACGGCUCACCUAGGCGACGAUCCCUAGCUGGUCUGAGAGGAUGACCAGCCACACUGGAACUGAGACACGGUCCAG